CGUAGCGACGUCAUGCAACCAAGCAAGCUGAUGGUUGCCAGAAGAGCUGUCGAGUUCAUGCAAAAUGAUUGCCACAUAUUUUAUUCAUUUAAAAUGUUUAAAACAAAGCAAUUUGUUAUUCUAUGAACCAACAUAUCAUGUUUGCUUUGUUAUAUUAUAGAAGGGGAAAUAGAGUGUCAUUUCGUCACCUUUGUCUAAUCUAAUCGAUAGAUAAUGAAAUAUUGAUCAAGGAAAAUCUAGUAGAAACCAGUACCUAAAUCAGAGCAAAUAAAUAACCGAUCGAACAAUGCUUUACUGUACAGUGUCCAAUUAGUCGUUUAACCAGCACGAUGGAGUUCCUGGCCGCCCAAGACCCCUUCGAGGUCAUGCCGUUCUUCAAGAAAGUUUUGACCGCCACAGGGUUAGGUUGGCCCCGGCGCAACUUGCGAAAAUUCGCACUGACUUUGCUGUUUCCGUGGUUGGUCGUUUUGGUGCCCAUGUUGGGUUACAGGUUCGGCAGCCAGGUGGACCUGAUGAUUCGUGGCUAUUCGGAGCUGCUGGUGCUGUUCAACAUUGAGAUUCGAGUGUUGAUUUUUGCGUGGAAGCAGGCCGAGUUUGAGGAUAUGAUCGCCGUCCUGCAGGGCGUUUUUGAUAAAGUUCGUUCUUAUGGUGCCAAAUCACAUGAGUUCAAAAUGGUAACGGUCACUAACCAAGCAAUGGAUAAAGCUGCAAAAGCAUAUAUGACCUUUCCACUGAUAUUAUUGAUAUUUUUUCUAAUGGUACCAUUGCUUCAAACAACUGCAAUUUACGUAAUGAAUCGUCAGAAUGGAACCAUUGAGCAGGAUUUUAUUACAAUGACUGAAAUUCAGUAAGUUAAUCUGAAACGAAUGACUUGAAAAGUGAUUUAUUAAUUUAUGAUUUCUUAUAACAGCUUUUACGAUUUGGAUAUUCGUCGGAACAUUUUUCACUAUUUGAUAUAUUAUGUUUGUGCAUUCGCAAGCCAUUGUAUUUACGGCUUCAGAGUGUCUAUAUCUGGAAUUGUAGCUUCGGGUAGUAUUAGGAGCAUCAAUUUAAUUUUCGAUUUAGUUUCGCACAAACUUGAAAAGAUUCAUGAAUUCUCUGGCAAAGAGUUGCGUGAUCAUUUUGCCGAAAUCGUCAAUAUGCACGCUGAUGGAUUACGGUAACUUUACGUGAAAUUUAAUGCAUAAAAUAAACAUCUUUUUGACUAUUUCAGAUGCAUUCGUAUUUUCGAGAGAUUGUCAAAUGUUGCAGUUCUAGUGCAGAUGGUUGAUACCGCACUCAUUUGGAUAUGUAUGAUUUUGUGUGUCACUAAUAACCCUACUAAAAACUCAUUGAACCUGGUGGUGCUUUUAGUUAUGAUAUCCUCUGAAACGUACGCAUUCUGCAAAUUGGGCAAUGAGCUAACAGAAAAGGU